ensembl:snRNA U6 U6 spliceosomal RNA
GUGCUCGCUUCAGCAGCACAUAUACUAAAACUGGAACAAUACAGAGAAGAUUAGCAUGGCCCCAAAAAGAAAAAUAAUAAUAAUAAAUAAACUUCUCACAAUUAU